rnacentral:rRNA from 1 species
CAGCCGCCGCGGGAAUACGUAGGUGGCAAGCGUUGUCCGGAAUUAUUGGGCGUAAAGGGCUCGCAGGCGGCUUCUUAAGUCUGAUGUGAAAGCCCCCGGCUCAACCGGGGAGGGUCAUUGGAAACUGGGAAACUUGAGUGCAGAAGAGGAGAGUGGAAUUCCACGUGUAGCGGUGAAAUGCGUAGAGAUGUGGAGGAACACCAGUGGCGAAGGCGACUCUCUGGUCUGUAACUGACGCUGAGGAGCGAAAGCGUGGGGAGCGAACAGGAUUAGAUACCCCGGUAGUCCCUGUCUCUUAUAC